rnacentral:rRNA from 1 species
AGAGUUUGAUCCUGGCUCAGGAUGAACGCUAGCGGCAGGCCUAAUACAUGCAAGUCGUACGGGAUUGUUUCUUAGCUUGCUAAGGGACAUGAGAGUGGCGCACGGGUGCGUAACGCGUGAGCAACCUGCCCAUGUCAGGGGGAUAGCCCGUUGAAAGACGGAUUAACACCGCAUGAAGAUAUUUUCCGGCAUCGGGAGGUAUCCAAAUAUUUAUAGGACAUGGAUGGGCUCGCGUGGCAUUAGCUUGUUGGUGCGGUAACGGCGCACCAAGGCGAUGAUGCCUAGGGGCUCUGAGAGGAGAAUCCCCCACACUGGUACUGAGACACGGACCAGACUCCUACGGGAGGCAGCAGUAGGGAAUAUUGGUCAAUGGGCGGAAGCCUGAACCAGCCAUGCCGCGUGCGGGACGAAGGCCCUACGGGUCGUAAACCGCUUUUAUACGGGAACAACCGCAGCUACGAGUAGCUGCCUGAGUGUACCGUGGGAAUAAGGAUCGGCUAACUCCGUGCCAGCAGCCGCGGUAAUAC